ACAAUAGACUACCCGGGUAGUCCACGCCCUAAACGAUGCGAACUGGAUGUUGGGUACAUUACGGUACUCAGUGUCGAAGCUAACGCGUUAAGUUCGCCGCCUGGGGAGUACGGUCGCAAGACUGAAACUCAAAGGAAUUGACGGGGGCCCGCACAAGCGGUGGAGUAUGUGGUUUAAUUCGAUGCAACGCGAAGAACCUUACCUGGCCUUGACAUCUGUCGAAUCCUGCAGAGAUGCGGGAGUGCCGCAAGGAACGACAAGACAGGUGCUGCAUGGCUGUCGUCAGCUCGUGUCGUGAGAUGUUGGGUUAAGUCCCGCAACGAGCGCAACCCUUGUCCCUAGUUGCCAGCACGUAAUGGUGGGAACUCUAGGGAGACUGCCGGUGACAAACCGGAGGAAGGUGGGGAUGACGUCAAGUCCUCAUGGCCCUUACGGCCAGGGCUACACACGUACUACAAUGGUCGGUACAGAGGGUUGCGAAGCCGCGAGGUGGAGCCAAUCCCAGAAAACCGAUCCCAGUCCGGAUCGGAGUCUGCAACUCG
rnacentral:rRNA from 1 species